rnacentral:rRNA from 1 species
UACGUAGGGUGCAGGCGUUAAUCGGAAUUACUGGGCGUAAAGCGUGCGCAGGCGGUUUCUUAAGUCAGAUGUGAAAGCCCCGGGCUUAACCUGGGAACUGCGUUUGAAACUGGGAGACUUGAGUGUGGCAGAGGGGGGUGGAAUUCCACGUGUAGCAGUGAAAUGCGUAGAUAUGUGGAGGAACACCGAUGGCGAAGGCAGCUCUCUGGGUUUACACUGACGCUCAUGCACGAAAGCGUGGGGAGCAAACAGG